rnacentral:rRNA from 1 species
GACGAACGCUGGCGGCAUGCCUAAUACAUGCAAGUCGAACGCUUAAGCACUCUGCUUGCAGAGUGCGGAUGAGUGGCGAACGGGUGAGUAACACGUGGGAAAUCUGCCUAUAAGAGGGGGAUAACAUUCGGAAACGGAUGCUAAUACCGCAUAUAUUCUUGGACCGCCUGGUCCUUGAAAGAAAGACGGCUUUGCUGUCGCUUAUAGAUGAUCCCGCGGCGUAUUAGUUAGUUGGUGGGGUAAAGGCCUACCAAGACAAUGAUACGUAGCCGACCUGAGAGGGUGAUCGGCCACACUGGGACUGAGACACGGCCCAGACUCCUACGGGAGGCAGCAGUAGGGAAUCUUCCACAAUGGGCGAAAGCCUGAUGGAGCAAUGCCGCGUGAAUGAAGAAGGUCUUCGGAUCGUAAAGUUCUGUUAUUAGAGAAGAACAAGUCAAGGAGUAACUGUCUUGACUUUGACGGUACCUAAACAGAAAGUCACGGCUAACUACGUG